rnacentral:rRNA from 1 species
UACAGAGGGGGCAAGCGUUAUUCGGAAUUAUUGGGCGUAAAGGGCGCGUAGGCGGCUUUGCAAGUGACGGGUGAAAGCCCUCGGCUUAACCGAGGAACUGCCUGUCAGACUGUAAGGCUUGAGACCGGGAGAGGUGAGUGGAAUUCCCAGUGUAGCGGUGAAAUGCGUAGAUAUUGGGAGGAACACCAGUGGCGAAGGCGGCUCACUGGACCGGAACUGACGCUGAGGCGCGAAAGCGUGGGGAGCAAACGGG